UUCCGGUUGAUCCCGCCGGAGGCCACUGCUAUCGGGGUCCGACUAAGCCAUGCGAGUCAAGGGGGUGUCCCUCUGGGACACCACCGGCGGACGGUUCAGUAACACGUCGGUAACCUACCCUCGGGAGGGGGAUAACCCCGGGAAACUGGGGCUAAUCCCCCAUAGGCCUGAGGUACUGGAAGGUCCUCAGGCCGAAAGGGGCUCUUGCCCGCCCGAGGAUGGGCCGGCGGCCGAUUAGGUAGUUGGUGGGGUAACGGCCCACCAAGCCGAAGAUCGGUACGGGCUGUGAGAGCAAGAGCCCGGAGAUGGACACUGAGACACGGGUCCAGGCCCUACGGGGCGCAGCAGGCGCGGAACCUCCGCAAUGCGGGAAACCGCGACGGGGGGACCCCGAGUGCCGUGGCAUCGCCACGGCUUUUCCGGAGUGUAAAAAGCUCCGGGAAUAAGGGCUGGGCAAGGCCGGUGGCAGCCGCCGCGGUAUUACCGGCGGUCCGAGUGGUGGCCGCUAUUAUUGGGCCUAAAGCGUCCGUAGCCGGGUCCGUAAGUCCCUGGCGAAAUCCCACGGCUCAACCGUGGGGCUUGCUGGGCAUACUGCAGGCCUUGGCACCGGCAUAGGCUGCGGGUACCCCUGGUGUAGGGGUGUAAUCCUAUACUCCCCUCGGUACCGUCUGUGUUCAAGUUCCCCCUCUGUAACCUUUCCCACUCUAAGCACUAACGUCAAGAGAGCAUCCCGCAUUACAUACCUGUUUUCUAGGCUGUAAAGGAUGCAGACUAAGUGUCGGGUGAGCUUCGAGCUCACCCGGUGCGGUAGGGAAGCCGUUAAAGCCGCCGCCUGGGUAGAACGGCCGCAAGGCUGAAACUUAAAGGAAUUGUAGGGGGAGCACUACAAGGGGUGGAGCGUGCGGUUUAAUUGGAUUCAACGCCGGUAACCUCACCGGGGGCGACGGCAGGAUGAAGGCCAGGCUGAAGGUCUUGCCGGACACGCCGAGAGGAGGUGCAUGGCCGCCGUCAGCUCGUACCGUGAGGCGUCCACUUAAGUGUGGUAACGAGCGAGACCCGCGCCCCCAGUUGCCAGCCCAUCCCGCUGGGAAGGGGGCACUCUGGGGGGACUGCCGGCGAUAAGCCGGAGGAAGGAGCGGGCGACGGUAGGUCAGUAUGCCCCGAAACCCCCGGGCUACACGCGCGCUACAAUGGGCGGGACAAUGGGAUCCGACCCCGAAAGGGGAAGGGAAUCCCCUAAACCCGCCCCCAGUUCGGAUCGCGGGCUGCAACUCGCCCGCGUGAAGCUGGAAUCCCUAGUACCCGCGUGUCAUCAUCGCGCGGCGAAUACGUCCCUGCUCCUUGCACACACCGCCCGUCACUCCACCCGAGCGGGGUCUGGAUGAGGCUCCGUCCUCUGGGCGGGGUCGAGUCCAGGCUCCGUGAGGGGGGAGAAGUCGUAACAAGGUAACCGU
rnacentral:rRNA from 1 species